rnacentral:rRNA from 1 species
AGUGAACUUAAGCCCCAGUAAACGGCGGCCGUAACUAUAACGGUCCUAAGGUAGCGAAAUUCCUUGUCGGGUAAGUUCCGACCCGCACGAAAGGCGUAACGAUUUGGGCACUGUCUCAACAACAGACUCGGUGAAAUUGUAAUUCCGGUGAAGAUGCCGGAUACCUGCGACAGGACGGAAAGACCCCAUGGAGCUUUACUGUAGCUUGACAUUGGGUCUUGGUACUACAUGUACAGGAUAGGUGGGAGGCUUUGAAACCAGGACGCCAGUUUUGGCGGAGCCAUCCUUGGGAUACCACCCUUGUA